rnacentral:rRNA from 1 species
GCCGCGGUAAUACGUAGGUYGACAAGCGUUGUCCGGAUUUAUUGGGCGUAAAGCGAGCGCAGGCGGUCCGGUAAGUCUGAUGUGAAAGCCCACGGCUCAACCGUGGAACGGCAUUGGAAACUGGCGGACUUGAAUGUAGCAGAGGAAAGUGGAAUUCCAUGUGUAGCGGUGGAAUGCGUAGAUAUAUGGAGGAACACCAGUGGCGAAAGCGACUUUCUGGGCUAUGAUUGACGCUGAGGCUCGAAAGCGUGGGGAGCGAACAGGAUUAGAUGCCCUGGUAGUCCACGCCGUAAACGAUGAGUGCUAAGUGUUGGAGGGUUUCCGCCCUUCAGUGCUGGAGUUAACGCAUUAAGCACUCCGCCUGGGGAUUACGGACCGCAAGGUUGAAACUCAAAAGAAUUGACGGGGACCCGCACAAGCGGUGGAGCAUGUGGUUUAAUUCGAAGCAACGCGAAGAACCUUACCAGCUCUUGACAUCUUCUGCCACCUUCAGAGAUGAAGGGUUCCCUUCGGGGACAGAAUGACAGGUGGUGCAUGGUUGUCGUCAGCUCGUGUCGUGAGAUGUUGGGUUAAGUCCCGUAACGAGCGCAACCCUUAUUGUUAGUUGCCAGCAUUGAGUUGGGCACUCUAGCAAGAGCUGCCGGUGAUAAACCGGAGGAAGGCGGGGAUGACGUCAAAUCAUCAUGCCCCUUAUGAGCUGGGCUACACACGUGCUACAAUGGAUGGUACAACGAGUGGCGAGACCGCGAGGUUUAGCUAAUCUCCCAAAGCCAUUCUCAGUUCGGAUUGCAGGCUGCAACUCGCCUGCAUGAAGUCGGAAUCGCUAGUAAUCGCGGAUCAGCAUGCCGCGGUGAAUUCGUUCCCGGGUCUUGCACUCACCGCCC